AUUGAACGCUGGCGGAAUGCUUUACACAUGCAAGUCGAGCGGCAGCACGGGGGCAACCCUGGUGGCGAGCGGCGAACGGGUGAGUAAUACAUCGGAGCAUGCCCAGUCGUGGGGGAUAACACUUCGAAAGAAGUGCUAAUACCGCAUACGUCCUGAGGGAGAAAGCGGGGGAUCUUCGGACCUCGCGCGAUUGGAGUGGCCGAUGUCAGAUUAGCUAGUUGGUGGGGUAAAGGCCUACCAAGGCAACGAUCUGUAGCUGGUCUGAGAGGAUGGGCAGCCAAACUGGGACUGAGACACGGCCCAGAGUCCUACGGGAGGCAGCAGUGGGGAAUUUUGGACAAUGGGGGCAACCCUGAUCCAGCCAUUCCGCGUGAGUGAAGAAGGCCUUCGGGUUGUAAAGCUCUUUCGGCAGGAACGAAACGGCGAGCUCUAACAUAGCUUGCUAAUGACGGUACCUGAAGAAGAAGCACCGGCUAACUACGUGCCAGCCGCCGCCGUAAAAC
rnacentral:rRNA from 1 species